rnacentral:rRNA from 1 species
CCUACGGGGGGCAGCAGUCUAGAGGCUUCGGCAAUGCCCGAAAGGGUGACCGAGCGACGCCGCGUGCGGGAUGAAGGGCUUCGGCUUGUAAACCGCUUUUCUUUGGGAAGAAGGCCUGGUUCGUGAAAUCGGGUUUGACGGUACCAGAGGAAUAAGCCCCGGCUAACUCCGUGCCAGCAGCCGCGGUAAGACGGAGGGGGCAAGCGUUGUUCGGAAUUAUUGGGCGUAAAGGGCUCGUAGGCGGGCCGGUAAGUCUGAUGUGAAAUCUCCACCGCUCAACGGGGAGAGGCCAUUGGAUACUGUCGGCCUGGAGUACGGUAGAGGACCAUGGAAUUCCAGGUGUAGCGGUGGAAUGCGUAGAUAUCUGGAAGAACACCGGUGGCGAAGGCGGUGGUCUGGGCCGUUACUGACGCUGAGGAGCGAAAGCCAGGGGAGCGAAC